rnacentral:rRNA from 1 species
AUGGAGCUCCCUCCGUCGGUUCUCCGUGCAAUCGACGCUCUGUGUCGCUCCUUCCUUUGGACCGCGUCGGACAAGGCGUCGGGAGCCCAAUGCCUGGUGGCCUGGGGUAGGGUGGUCCGCCCCAAGGAGGAAGGCUGGCGCGGGGUGUGUGCACUGCCGGUCCAAAACCGCUGCCUCCUGAUGAAGCUGCUAUAUCACCUACACCUGCGUCAGGAUGCGCCCUGGGCCCGCAGGGUGUGGACCGAGCUCGGACGCUCACUGCUAACCCUGGCGGCGGCGUCCUCUCUCCCAGGCCCUCACUGGUCCUCCCUGGACCAGCUCAUGCCGGUGUACAGAGCGAUCUCCCGCAUCUCCAUCGGCGACCGGUGCACCACUGCGUUCUGGCUGGACUCGUGGCUGCCCGGCGGUGCUCUGUCUGUGUAG